rnacentral:rRNA from 1 species
UACGUAGGGUGCGAGCGUUGUCCGGAAUUACUGGGCGUAAAGAGCUCGUAGGCGGUUUGUCACGUCGUCUGUGAAAUCCUGCAACUCAAUUGUAGGCGUGCAGGCGAUACGGGCAGACUUGAGUACUACAGGGGAGACUGGAAUUCCUGGUGUAGCGGUGAAAUGCGCAGAUAUCAGGAGGAACACCGGUGGCGAAGGCGGGUCUCUGGGUAGUAACUGACGCUGAGGAGCGAAAGCGUGGGGAGCGAACAGG